GUCCACGCCGUAAACGAUGUCAACUAGCUGUUGGUCAUAUUAAUGUGAUUAGUGGCGAAGCUAACGCGAUAAGUUGACCGCCUGGGGAGUACGGUCGCAAGAUUAAAACUCAAAGGAAUUGACGGGGGCCCCGCACAAGCGGUGGAGCAUGUGGUUUAAUUCGAUGCAACGCGAAGAACCUUACCUACCCUUGACAUACAGCGAAUUUUUCAGAGAUGAGAGAGUGCCUUCGGGAACGCUGAUACAGGUGCUUCAUGGCUGUCGU
rnacentral:rRNA from 1 species